ACGCAUCUCAGACAGACCUGGAGCAGUUAAUGUCUGCUGCUAAGGUUUCAACUACAGAUGCAAGAAAAAGAAGGUCCUCAUGCUUUCUGUGUUUUUGUGGCAACCGAGAUUGAAUGGGGGAAUACAGGA
rnacentral:snoRNA from 1 species